UACGUAGGGGGCGAGCGUUGUCCGGAUUUAUUGGGCGUAAAGAGCUCGUAGGCGGCUUAGCAAGUCGGGUGUGAAAACUCCAGGCUCAACCUGGAGACGCCACUCGAGACUGCUAUGGCUAGAGUCCGGUAGGGGCCCACGGAAUUCACGGUGUAGCAGUGAAAUGCGUAGAUAUCGUGAGGAACACCAGAGGCGAAGGCGGUUACCUGGACAGUUACUGACGCUCAGGCACGAAAGCAUGGGGAGCAAAAGGG
rnacentral:rRNA from 1 species